AACCCCCAUUACAUAUAUAGCUUAUUAAUUAAACGAGCUGAAAAGAAAUCACAUCACAGAAAGAUGUUGCUUUUGGUAGUACUUCUUUUGACUCUUUCUCAAGUGAUCAGUGCAAAAUUUUUAUUAGUCAACACGACUAUACUUCACAAUGCUGUUGAAAAGGGAGCCGUCUGUAUGGAAGUGCUCCUGCAUACCUGCUUGAUAGGGGAACUGGCUAUGGAGUUAACAAUUAACUUGUUCGCAUUGAGGUUAUCAAUAUUUGGGCGGGGAUGGUGUCCUACGACCUCAGAGUGCAUCUCACAUGCUGCUUCCGUGUUGGGAUCAUCAAUACCCAUGGAUGAUCAAUAUUCUUUUAAGGGAAUAUAAAGCAACAAGCCUAACGAAAAUCCAGACUUUUUAAAAUGGAAUAGAGUAAAGUUUAACUAUUGGGAUGAGUCAUCUUUUACCGGUAAUAUUGAAGAAGUUGACCCAGUAAGAGAGAAUAUUUUUUCAUAUUAGAGCUAGAAAAUAUGUAUUUUACUAAAUUUUCUUUGUUGAAAAUGACAAUUUUUUUUAUUAACUAAGUAGGUUACAGCCUAUAGGACUCCACUUCAGAGGGGCAAGAGUUUUCCUUGCCAUCAUGGAGGAUUUAUUAUACAAAGGAAUGUGGAAAGCUGAAAAUAAAAACUAUUUUGGGUGAACCACAUAUUGAAGAGUUAUAUAAAAAAGUUGUUGCAUUGCACUUCUUCUUCCCUGAAUAUGUAAUACAACAUAUUUGGACACCACUUUUCGUUAUUAAUUCGGCCUAUGACUCUUGGCAGAUUUCAGGGUAAUAUUUAUUAGGGCAGUUAUAAAUAGAAGAAGACCAACUUCACCAAGUGGAUAUUUCAUAACCUGCUGCCAUUCCCACUAAGGCAUUGAAACACCGAGCUAUUGGUUCAACCCCAACUCUCCAAUAUUGUUUGAUAAGAAAAUUGCUCAAGCAGUUGCCAAGUGGUUCUUUGUUGAGAGUAGUAAAUUCCAAGAGAUAUCUUGCCCUUAUCCUUAUGGAAAAUUUUGCCAAAGCUAGGAACUGGGAGAGGAUGUUGAUAUACUACGAGUAUUUCUGAUAUUUUCUUAAUGAUUAAUCCACUCAUGUAUUUAUGGAAAGUAUCAAGUCACUUGAGGUCGCUUAAAAUUGUUAUUCAAACUUUAUCAUGUUAUCGUAAGUUGGUAUA